rnacentral:rRNA from 1 species
GACGAACGCUGGCGGCGUGCUUAACACAUGCAAGUCGAACGGAAAGGCCCUGCUUUUGUGGGGUGCUCGAGUGGCGAACGGGUGAGUAACACGUGAGUAACCUGCCCUUGACUUUGGGAUAACUUCAGGAAACUGGGGCUAAUACCGGAUAGGAGCUCCUGCUGCAUGGUGGGGGUUGGAAAGUUUCGGCGGUUGGGGAUGGACUCGCGGCUUAUCAGCUUGUUGGUGGGGUAGUGGCUUACCAAGGCUUUGACGGGUAGCCGGCCUGAGAGGGUGACCGGCCACAUUGGGACUGAGAUACGGCCCAGACUCCUACGGGAGGCAGGAGUGGGGAAUAUUGCACAAUGGGCGGAAGCCUGAUGCAGCAACGCCGCGUGCGGGAUGACGGCCUUCGGGGUGUAAACCGCUUUCGCCUGUGACGAAGCGUGAGUGACGGUAAUGGGUAAAGAAGCACCGGCUAACUACGUG